UCUAUCUAUCUAUCUAUCUAUCUAUCUAUCUAUCUAGCUGUCUGUCUGUCAGUGUGUGUGUGUGUGUGUGUGUGUGUGUGUGUGUGUGUGUGUCUGUCUGUCUGUCUGUCUGUCUGUCUGUCUGUCUGUCUGUCUGUCUGUCUGUCUGUCUGUCUGUCUAUCUAUCUAUCUGUCUAUCUAUCUAUCUAUCUAGCUGUCUGUCUGUCAGUGUGUGUGUGUGUGUGUGUGUGUGUGUGUGUGUGUGUGUCUGUCUGUCUGUCUGUCUGUCUGUCUGUCUGUCUGUCUGUCUGUCUGUCUAUCUAUCUAUCUAUCUAUCUAUCUAUCUAUCUAUCUGUCUAUCUAUCUAGCUGUCUGUCUGUCAGUGUGUGUGUGUGUGUGUGUGUGUGUGUGUGUGUGUGUGUGUGUGUGUGUGUGUUUUUCCUUCUAUCUCCCCUCAGCCACUGUCCAUCCCUUCACUCAAGCCUUCCAUCACUUUUCCUCCUUUCUCUCUCCUUUAUAUAGAAUGAAUACUCCUCCACUCCUUGUCACUCCAUCAGCUGAGCAUUCCUCUGUUCCCCAUCCUUCUCUCUCCCUCCAGCCUCUCUCCUUUAUAGAGCUAAUGAUCCACUCUCUGCCCCUCCUCCUCCCAUCUGCUGACCUUCCCUCUAGUCCAUCUUUCCUUCUUUCCUUCCUUCCUCUUUCCUUAAUAGAGGUAAUAAUUUUUCCUCUCCCUGGCCCAUAUCUCGACCUUACCUCCCCAUUCACAAGCUCCCCUUGCUUUCUUCUACUCAAGACUGACUUUAUCCAGUUUAACACACCUCCUUCAAUCUGUUACUUUUUAGCUUUGAUAAUAACUUGUUGUGUGGUACAGUAUGGAAUGCUUUUAUCAGUGUCCAGGCCCUUGUUUAAACACUGUCCACUUGUUUAACACUUAUCACCUGCAGUUCUGUGCAUCUCCCAGGCAGGAAUCCACACUGCUGUACACUGAAUAGAUUGCUGAGAUACCAAGACUGGCACAGACUCCCUGGUUAUCUCUGGCAUGCCCUCAUCCAGUUGAUGUGCGAACACCACUGCAGGGAACUCUGUCGGUGUGUCUGUUCCUUUCUUUAUCAUUUCCAGUGUUCCUGCUCUUGUCAAUGCUGUUCCUGACACUGACAGUUCCUGCACUGACACUGUUUAGUUGGGUUAGGUUUGGUUACAUACAUUCCAUUCAUUACCAUCAUCAUUAUUCUCUCAUUUCUCAUUCAUUUAUCAUAAUUUUUCCAUCCACUUGUCACCAUCCUUCCAUUUCUCAUUAAUUUAUCACUUGUUAUCACCAUCCUUUCAUCUCUCAUUUACUAAUAAUUUUUAUUCCCAUGGCCUUGUUGACUGGAUGCUCUCUCUCUCUCUCUCUCUCUCUCUCUCUCUCUCUCUCUCUCUCUCUCUCUCUCUCUCUCUCUCUCUCUCUCUCUCUCUCUCUCUCUCUCUCUCUCUCUCUCUCUCUCUCUCUCUCUCUCUCUCUCUCAUGGCUGGCAUCAAGUAAGCAUUACAUUACAUGUUGCCGAGUUCUUUGGGCAUUGUGAAUGAAGUGGCCUACAGUGGUUUUUUAUUUAUUUAUUUAUUUUCUCUCUCUCUCUCUCUCUCUCUCUCUCUCUCUCUCUCUCUCUCUCUCUCUCUCUCUCUCUCUCUCUCUCUCUCUCUCUCUCUCUCUCUCUCUCUCUCUCUCUCUCUUCAAAACAAACAGGAGGUGAAUGAGUGUGAGAGAUUUUCAGGAAAAGUGAAUUUAAGUCCCUGUUUUGAUACAAAGAACAAAAAUCCCUUGUACCCAUGAUGAACUGUGCAUUAUCAUAACACCUAUCAUGUUCUAAAUCAAUUUCCCUCCCAUCUCUAAUAAUCUCUUGAUGACAAAUUAUCAGCAUUGUCAAUCUUCUCCAGAGGCUUUUGUAGUGUCAACCGCAGUAUACUUCUGCAAAAACUGCAUCAUUAUGGCACAUUCCUGGUUCAAAGGCUGUUUGACUGAUACAACCCAGUGCACAGUCCAUCAUGGAUACCUUUUAACAAAACCUACUUUUAUUUCAUGUUUUCAAGUAGCAUAAUUAUGUACUGCUUAAUAAAUGAACACCUGAA